GAUGAAGAACGUAGCAAAAUGCGAUAAGUAAUGUGAAUUGCAGAAUUCAGUGAAUCAUCGAAUCUUUGAACGCACAUUGCGCCCGCUGGUACUCCGGCGGGCAUGCCUGUUCGAGCGUCAUUUCAACCCUCAAGCCCCCGGGUUUGGUGUUGGGGAUCGGCUCUGCCCUUCUGGGCGGUGCCGCCCCCGAAAUACAUUGGCGGUCUCGCUGCAGCCUCCAUUGCGUAGUAGCUAACACCUCGCAACUGGAACGCGGCGCGGCCAUGCCGUAAAACCCCAACUUCUGAAUGUUGACCUCGGAUCAGGUAGGAAUACCCGCUGAACUUAAGCAUAUCAAUAAGCGGAGGA
rnacentral:misc_RNA from 1 species